AAAGUUCAGUUUAGGGUUUAAACCCUAAUGCUGACUAAAGGAAAGAGUUCAGUUUAGGGUUUAAAACCCUAACUGCUGACUGGAUGGAAAAGUUCAGUUUAGGGUUUAAAACCCUAAUGCUGACUAAAGGGAAAGAGUUCAGUUUAGGGAUUAAAAUCCUAAUGCUGACUGAAAGGAAAAGUUCAGUUUAGGGUUUAAAACCCUAAUGCUGACUGAAAGGAAAAAUUUCAGUUUAGGGUUUAAAACCCUAAUGCUGACUAAAGGGAAAGAGUUCAGUUUAGGGUUUAAAACCCUACUGCUGACUGAAUGGAAAAAGUUCAGUUUAGGGUUUAAAACCCUAAUGCUGACUAAAGGGAAAGAGUUCAGUUUAGGGUUUAAAAUCCUAAUGCUGACUGAAAGGGAAAAAGUUCAGUUUAGGGUUUAAAACCCUAAUGCUGACUGAAAGGAAAAGUUCAGUUUAGGGUUUAAAACCCUAAUGCUGACUAAAGGGAAAGAGUUCAGUUUAGGGUUUAAAACCCUAAUGUUGACUGAAAGGAAAAGUUCAGUUUAGGGUUUAAAACCCUAAUACUGACUGAAUGGAAAAAGCUCAGUUUAGGGUUUAAAACCCUAAUGCUGACUGAAAGGAAAGUUCAGUUUAGGGUUUAAAACCCUAAUGCUAACUAAAAGGAAAAGUUCAGUUUAGGGUUUAAAACCCUAAUGCUGACUUAAAGGAAAAGUUAAGUUUAGGGUUUAAAACCCUAAUGCUGACUAAAAGGAAAAUUCAGUUUAGGGUUUAAAACCCUAAUGCUGAUUACAUGGAAAAGCUCAGUUUAGGGCUUAAAACCCUAAUGCUGGCUGAAUGGAAAAAAGUUCAGUUUAGGGUUUAAAAUCCUAAUGCUGACUAAAAGGAAAAUUCAGUUUAGGGCUUAAAACCCUAAUGCUGAUUACAUGGAAAAGCUCAGUUUAGGGUUUAAAACCCUAAUGCUGGCUGAUUGGAAAAAAGUUCUGUUUAGGGUUUAAAACCCUAAUGCUGACUAAAAGGAAAAUUCAGUUUAGGGUUUAAAACCCUAAUGCUGAUUACAUGGAAAAGCUCAGUUUAGGGUUAAAACCCUAAUGUUGGCUGAAAGGAAAAAAGUUCAGUUUAGGGUUUAAAACCCUAAAGCCGGCUAAAGGAAAAAUUCAGUUUAGGGUUUAAAACCCUAAUGCUGAUUGAAUGGAAAAGCUCAAUUUAGGGUUUAAAACCCUAAUGCUGGCUGAAUGGAAAAAAGUUCAGUUUAGGGUUUAAAACCCUAAUGCUGACUGGAAAGAAAAGCUCAGUUUAGGGUUUAAAACCCUAAUGCUGGCUAAAGGAAAAAUUCAGUUUAGGGUUUAAAACCCUAAUGUUGAUCGCAUGGAAAAGCUCAGUUUAGGGUUUAAAACCAUAAUGCUGGCUGAAUGGAAAAAAGUUCAGUUUAGGGUUUAAAACCCUAAUGCUGACUAAAAGGAAAAUUCAGUUUAGGGUUUAAAACCCUAAUGCUGAUUGCAUGGAAAAGCUCAGUUUAGGGUUUAAAACCCUAAUGCUGGCUGAAUGGAAAAGUUCAGUUUAAGGUUUAAAACCCUAAUGCUGACUGCAUGGAAAAGCUCAGUUUAGGGUUUAAAUCCCUAAUGCCGACUAAAGGAAAAAUUCAGUUUAGGGUUUAAAACCUUAAUGCUGACUGAAAGGAAAAAUUCAGUUUAGGGUUUAAAACCCUAAUGCUGACUGAAAGGAAAAUUCAGUUUAGGGUUUAAAACCCUAAUGCCGACUGGAAGGAAAAGCUCAGUUUGGGGUUUAAAACCCUAAUGCUGGCUGAAUAGGAAAAAGUUCAGUUUAGGGUUUAAAACCCUAAUGCUGACUAAAGGAAAAAUUCAGUUUAGGGUUUUAAACCCUAAUGCUGACUGAAAGGAAAAGCUCAGUUUAUGGUUUAAAACCCUAAUGCUGACUGAAAGGAAAAUUCAGUUUAGGGUUUAAAACCCUAAUGCCGACUGGAAGGAAAAGCUCAGUUUGGGGUUUAAAACCCUAAUGCUGGCUGAAUGGAAAAAAGUUCAGUUUAGGGUUUAAAACCCUAAUGCUGAAUGGAAGGAAAAGCUCAGUUUAGGGUUUAAAACCCUAAUGCUGACUAAAAGGAAAAAUUUAGUUUAGGGUUUAAAACCCUAAUGCUGACUAAAAGGAAAAGCUCAGUUUAGGGUUUAAAACCCUAAUGCUGAUUACACGAAAAAUUCAGUUUAGUGUUUAAAACCCUAAUGCUGAUCGCAUGGAAAAGCUCAGUUUAGGGUUUAAAACCCUAAUGCUGGCUGAAUGGAAAAAGUUUAGUUUAGGG
rnacentral:lncRNA from 1 species